AUUGAACGCUGGCGGCAGGCCUAACACAUGCAAGUCGAGCGGAUGAAGGGAGCUUGCUCCUGGAUUCAGCGGCGGACGGGUGAGUAAUGCCUAGGAAUCUGCCUGGUAGUGGGGGAUAACGUCCGGAAACGGGCGCUAAUACCGCAUACGUCCUGAGGGAGAAGGUGGGGGAUCUUCGGACCUCAUGCUAUCAGAUGAGCCUAGGUCGGAUUAGCUAGUUGGUGGGGUAAAGGCCUACCAAGGCGACGAUCCGUAACUGGUCUGAGAGGAUGAUCAGUCACACUGGAACUGAGACACGGUCCAGACUCCUACGGGAGGCAGCAGUGGGGAAUAUUGGACAAUGGGCGAAAGCCUGAUCCAGCCAUGCCGCGUGUGUGAAGAAGGUCUUCGGAUUGUAAAGCACUUUAAGUUGGGAGGAAGGGCAGUAAGUUAAUACCUUGCUGUUUUGACGUUACCAACAGAAUAAGCACCGGCUAACUUCGUG
rnacentral:rRNA from 1 species